UCCAUUCUAGACGCCAAGCAUGUUUGCACUCUGACAGAAGUGGCUUCCUGUUUUUGUUUGCUUGACUGCUUGCUUCUGAGACAGUCUCCUGAGCUCAGGGUGGCCUUAAUUUUUCCAUAUAUCUUAGAAUGACCUCGAAUGCACGAUCUUCCUGCCUCCACCUGCGAGGUAGAGGUAACAGACAUCUAGCUGCAGCCCUGCUUUUUAAGUGCCGAGGAAUGAGCUAUGGAGUAGGCAAGGGCCCUGGCACAUAAGCUAGGAAAGGAAACUUCAAGGAUGCUAAGAGAGGCAUGUCCCCAAUGUCUGGCUGAUACAAGUAAUGAAGUGCCCACCAAUCAGGUGAGCCAUGAUGAUGGCACCAGCAAGGGACCUUGGUGUUGGGGGAGCCUGGAGGGCCCAGAAGAGAAGAAGCAUGGGUGGACUUUGAGGGUGGGACUCAGAGAGCUGUCAGUUGAGAGGCGGAGCCUCCUCUGUCCAUCCCCGGGAGUGGCACAGCUCCAUCCCGCCCGCAUACAAGGAAGUUAUUUUCUGCAGAAAAGUCAGCUCUAACCACAGUGAAGAAGGAAUGCAGGAAGAGUCUCGGGAUCAGGAGCCCACAGGCUGGACUCACUCCAGCUUCUGCAGAGUCGGAACGAAGCCUCAGGAGGGAUGGCUCCACAGCAAGAAUCACCCUUUGUCUGGACCAGAGCCUGGGAGAAGCAGAAACAUGGGGCUCAUGCUGAGAAAGGCUCCAACCCCCGGUUCCCACUUGGGGUCCACCUUGGAAGACCGGACUGUAGCUGUUCCUUGCGGACAGGGCAGUCACCAGCAGAGAGAGAUGGGAGCUGAAACACAAGCCGCAGACCUCAGGUUAACCCAUGACAACCCUUGGCGCAGCCAGGGGCUUGGCUACUGGUUCUGGUGCUCCGUGGCGCAGCUCAGGACCUUAGAGUCUGAUCAUCAGUUCGGAUCAGAGAGCGGCUUGGGCCGCCAGCACCUACCUGAGGCUGUAGCAGCCGUGGCCUCUGCUUUGUCUGGAACCAGCCUGAUGCCAUCAGACACGUCCACCUGGUGAUCAGCCUCCUCCCUUGAGGCCCCAUCAUGCUGUGGUGACAGAGGAUUGCUUCUAACGUGUUCCUUGCAGAAGAUGAAGCACCAGCAGUCGGACAUGAGGCUGUGAUGUCAAGGGAACAUGAGGUCAAGGUGCAGAUCGAAGGAUUGCUUCUUCGGACAAGAACAAAACCACUAGCUGCAGUCUUUAGCAUUUAUUCUGAAACAGAUGUAAGAUGUGUGAAGUUAAGCCUAUUGUCUGAAUUUCACCAGCUUGUAGCAGACUGUCUUGGUAUUCAGUUAAAAACACAACAACUUUCGCUUAUAAAUACUGAAAUAGGGGUUGUACAGGAAAAACUACUUCUUGACAUUUAGAUUCUUGUUUCAAGGACACAAAAGUGCCUGUUCUCUGGCUUUCCGUGUCUACCUCACUUUCAAAGCCUGGCCAGUAGCUCUUCAGAUCACUCAAAACACUUUUAAAUCCUCUAAGCAAAGCUAAGGCCCUCAGGUCCAGGACAAACAUUACCUUGUUUCUUCCUCUUCGGGAGAUCUGGCAAACACCUUGCUUCUGGAGAUGUGAUCUCAAAUUUAAAGAGAAAGUACCGCUCUUUAGAGGCACCAUGGCUAGUUUUACCUGCCCCAGGUGACCACUCCCUGGGCUUCACAGGACUCAGCUCUGUGGCUUAGCACAUUCCAGAGAGAAGAGUGGGGCACUUCGAGGUUCCACUGUCUUGACUCUCCACAGGAAACCUAUCUUCUACAGUGACGUUCCUCUCAGCUUGCCCUGAAGCCCUGAGUCCCCCUGCCUCAGGCUACAGAGGCCUUGCUUCAGCCCUUCCUUCCCCAGGUCAAUCCUGGAAGAGGCCACUGUCUGCAGGAGACUCCUUCCUGGACAGGUCGGAUGGUUAAGAUUCCCAACUUCAGUGUCUCUGGUUUUAUGUGGAGGUCCUUGAUCCACUUUGUUCAAGGAGAUAAGAAUGGAUCGAUUCGAAUUCUUCUACAUGCUAACCGUCAUUACAGAGACAAAGUGUAAAGCAGAAACCGAAGGUGUGACUAUUCAGAGACUGCCCCAUCUGGGGAUCCAUCCCAUAAACCACCACCAAACCCAGACACCAUUGUGGAUGCCAACA